CCGACUGAACCACCCAGGUGCCCCAUCAAUAUUAUUAUUUCUAAUGAGGAUUUAGAAGAAAGAAAUUGCAUUUUAUUACUUAAUGUUUUAUUUUAUUAUUUUUUUCCUAGUCUAUUUUCUAUAAUAAGCAUGAAUUAAUUAUCUAAUAAGAAAUUAGCAACGAAAUUUGUUAAGAAAAAAAGUUUGUCCCUGGUCAGCAAAUUUCUUGGUGUCUUAUUGGUUGAGUGUCCCUUGUAGGAACUUCAGGGAAACCUACUCCAGUGUCACAGAAGUACUUGGGUCCAAGGACAGAUGGAAAAACUAUGCCCCUACUCUUAAGACAGUGUCUCUCCUGACAUUAAAAUAGAGCAUGUCAGGAAGUGGUCACGUGUUGAGAGACGUAGGCAAAACUGGAAAGUUUUAAUUAAUUUGAACAAAUAUAGAUGUGUAUACAUUUCUGAAAACAGUUUAUAAUUUCUCAUUGGCUUUUUGAGAUACAACCAAACUCACCCAAAAUGUAGGUGACACUUAGCAUUUGCUUCCACUCUCAAAAACUUGUAGACCUCCUCUUUUAUCCAAACUCUGCUUUUUCUAGUGCGACCUCAUUACCAUAGGGUUUCAUGCAAACAAAAGCAUUGCAGAACCUCAUCUUAUCUCACACCCGAACUGAUCUGAAUCUGUAUUAACGCACAGCAAGGAACAAAUGAGAGUAUCUAUAUGAAGUCUUGCCUCAGAACUGAAAUAUUAGAAAUGACAGUUUUACAUUCAGUAUCAUUUUUCUCAAGGGUUUAUCUCAUGGCAUCAUUUUUGUUUCUCAAACAUUUUCAAAUAUUUGAUCCUUGAAACCUUCACCCAACUCACUGCAAAGUUUAAAAAUGCUGCCUAUUUCAGAAUGUUUGCACACAGUUCUCAAACAUGAGAGGCACAGGCAGACCAGCCCCCAGCUGUUUCCAGGGAAGCCUGGGGAGAGGCUGCUGGUACACAUCGUGAUAUUUUUCCAACCGAAAACUGUUACUGCCCUGCCCUGAGACACAUGUGUCCCAGAGGAGCCGAAAUCCAAAUUGAAGUGAAAAGUUUAUUGGCUACAUGCCAAAUUCAAAACUACCCUGACCUGUCUUCCCUUGUCCUCUGACAGUGUGUACAUGUACUGACUCAUCUGGGAAAAAAAAAAAAAAAAAAAAAAGCUGGUUUGUAAAUGGGGGAAAAACUAUCCAAGAAGUAUUCGCACCAUGAAAUGAUCGUCUCGUUUUGGCCAUACUGACAAACAACCGGUCAAUUCAGUGAGAAGAAAAAACGUUUUCUUUUUAAUAUUUGAUGAGUGUGCUUAACACAAUUGCCUGGUUUGUUUAUACUGGUUAGUUGUUGAAUGAUCUACAUAGCUGAAUCUGAAAUCUGGGUUUUAACAAGCUAAGGAAGAAUUCCCAUUGAGUAAUGUUUUCAGUUAACGACUGUACUGCUGUAAUCAAUGCUUAAGCAUAUGGUUAAGUGCAGCUAAUAUUGGGUCAUAAAUGCUGCACGUGGCCAGUGACCACCAAAGAGCCCUGGGCUUCUGGCUUUCCGUCCCUGACCCAUACAAUGACAGCAUUUGAGCGUUUUGUAUGUCGGAUUUCCUGAACCAACAAUAACAAAAAUACAACUUAAAAACCAGUGAUCCAGACUGGCCUCUUACUCCUUUCACCCCUGCACAGGAUUGCACAAAGACGUGGAAACCAGAGCAGAUCAAAUUUGGAGCCUACCAACCUUGGCUGCUUGCCUUCAAGGAAUGUUUAUGCCUUUGAAAGACUUGCUAUCAUUCAGCUUUGUUGUGGCCUUCUUUCUGCCCUGUUAGUGUCCAUCAGUUGUUCUAGUGAACGAUUUAAGGUCCAUUCUUGGAUUUCCUUGACUGUUCCAACUAGUUGAUGUAACAGAGAAAAUAAGGAAUAGGGAUUAUGUAAUCUUCCAUUUUCAACGUGACUCGUCUAUAAAAUCAUUCAGUCUUCCUAAACUAUGUGAAUGGAAUUUGUUUGCAUAAAUCUAAUGCCACCAAAGGCUUCUAAACCGUGAACUAAUUACGCCAUCUAAUUUUGGAGCUUUUCCAAUGUCAAUCUCUAAAUUAGUCAUCUUCUGCUUUUGUUUUAUGUGUCAUCUUUUGCUUUUUCACAUUUCAUUAGGUAUCAAAACCAAGAGAGACAAAGUACAAGCUGUUUAUAUUUUAUCAAGUCUCAAGAAAAUGGAAAACGUUUUAUCCCAGUUAGAUCUACAGGAGAGCGAGAUGGGUCCUAGACCGAUGUUUUGGCACAAAACAGAAGUACAAAUAAUUAUGGGCAGUGGUAUCUUAAAACGCUUUUUAAAAAUUAAUCCUAAGAAGGACAGUUGUUUUGCUGUAUUUGAUUUUCAAUUUUUUAAAUUGAAAUGGACUUUCUUGUGCAGGCAUGUCUAUGUGUGUUAUAUGUAUGCUCAGACAUGUAUGUGUAUACAGUAUGUACCUGUAUGCGUGUACAAUGUAAGGAACAUUGACUGUUACAUCAGAAGACACGGGUUCAAGCCUGUCCCAUCAUCACUCGCUGACUGAAAGCAGGCAAGUCGUCCCCUACCAUUUAUGAACGUCAGCUUUCUCAUCUAAAAUUGGGGUUCACCGUGGUUUUCCAAUCUGUUUCAAGGACUUGACAUAGAAAUCAAAGUAGAUAGUACACACGAAGCUUUAUUGAUUAGAUGUAUAAGGUCCUAAUAACAUGUACUGGUGAGUGACAUAAUUACACCAAUAACCCAACAUAAGAUUUGGAGCAACUUACUUAACUUUGGGCCAUAUUUCUUUGUAGACAAAUGUGACUCAUAAAAGGUUCGUGGCGAAUACAAAGGGCACUGACUGUCAUGGAGGACAGACCUACUCGUUAGGACCCUUGUUUUUGUUUGUUUGUUUUUAAGGGACACAAACUCGACUUGAAGUAGUUCAAGCAAAUAAAAGAAAAGUGUGUAUUGAAAGCCUCAAGUAACCAUGGAAAAGAAGCCACAGAGCCUCAAAAACCACUGGAACCAGAAAUUUGAAUGCUAGCAAGACUUUCCCUCUUCUCACUGCAUACUGUUUCUGGUUUUCUCAAACUUCCUACACGUGGCUAGGACACAAGGCCACCAGCAGCCCCUGCCCCCACACCACCCCCUGCAUGUCACAAUUUUGCCAUAAGAAGAAAAAAAAAAAAAACCUACCCUAAAAUUGCCCACCUCCUCAUCCCAAGCCUGAUCCCAGUUGAAGAGUCCCCAGAAAAGACGCUAGUCAGCUCAGGUCAGGUCAGGGGCCCCGGAUGGGAACAUGGCACUGGUGGCUCCCGUUUGAACCAGGUGGUCGGAGUCAGAGUGAAGCGGUUGUCCCCAAGAAAUGGGGUGGUGUUUCUAGAAACGAGGCAAGGUCCUAAGCAGUCAGAGCAGCAAAUGCUCACAAAAGCGCAGGAGGCUGGCCCGAGCGCUGGCCUUUCUUGCCAUUCUCUGGUGAAGGUGACCUUAGCCUAAUGGGUGAAGCUUUCUGUCAAGUGACAGACAAAACCUACUCCUGCCUUCUGUAUUGGACGUGAGGAACAAAUUACAGAAUAGAUUCAAAUGUGCCUUUAGCGGUUUCAAGUGCUAAACCAGUAGCAGGUAGAUUCACUGAUGCCCUUGAUCAGUGCCUGUGAUCCAAACCCCUCCUUGUGUAUGUUCUCACGAAAGUACAGAACCAAGGAUUAGAACCAUUCUCUGACUCUGUUUUGUUAGGAAACAGCACUCUUUUGGAGUGUUUUUCAUGGUUAAAAUUUGAUUCAUCUCCUGUUAAAUCAUGCAUGCGAUUUACUUGGGGCUAUUCCUGAAAUUUUUUCAAUUAGAAAAAUGUAAAUUACAAAAUACAUUAUUCAUCAUGUGCACACAGUUGACUGCGUUUUAGAGUAUCACCUGAAGAAACAACAGUAGAGGAACAACACAAACAGAAAUUCGUUGAUAUCAUGCUCGUGGAAUAGACCCUAUUCCACUUGGGUCUAUUUGUAGGACUUGCCCACUCCUGAACAAUUUUCUCUGGUGAUUCUUGUCCGCCAAGGGACCUCUUCUGUUUGUCAAUGGUUGGGUCCAUCGUGUGCACCAUUUGUGGCCCUACGGUGGGGACUCACGGCCCGUACUUGCGUUGCUCCGGUGUGUCAGCUAGAUCCAGCCUCUCUGUGUGGCUCAUGUGGCUACUGUCCAGUAGGAAUGUAUCUCCACUUCGUUUUUACUGCGCUCCCAUGCUAUAUGUCCAUCGUAUCCUUCAGGACCAAGUUGAAUGUACUGCUCUAGGAUAGAUCUUCCACUGUUGUCCCUCUCUCUUUAGAAGAGCUUCUUUGUUUGGGUGAACAUGUGAUCCGAGCGUAUCCGUUGGCGCUUCUCAAAGACGUAGCUUUGUGCGUCUUCUCAAGUCGCUACGGGUGUAUGUUUGUCUCCCCAAAGGUAAAACCGGAGUGAGUGCCAAGUUACUUUGCAGGAUGACUGCAGUGACCUUCGGUGCCGCCAGGAGAAAGCAAUCUGGUAUGUUGUUGCAAAAGUAGGACACACAGCAGCAACCUCAGCCAACUUCAUCAGUCUGCCCCAUUCCCGUGUGGACCUCUCACCUGACCGGGACUGGGGGUGGGAACUGGAAUAGGUCGGCCCUGGCCGCUGUGCCCCUGGGCCGGGGCCGUGGGGGCUGUGAGAGGACAGAGCAUCUCCUGCCCAAGGCUGCAGUGGGAGAGCUGGAGGGUAAAUGCUGAAAAUAAUAUUCUGGGCUGAGGGCCAAGGUCAUGGCCAACGAGUGUGUCCAAACCAUGUCAUAAAUUAAAGUAACUAUUGGAAAACUGGGAGCUGAGUUACGGAGCCAAAACGAGCGGUGCCGGGCCACAGAACGAGCCAAGAAUGAAGAGAGGGACGAAGUGCAGCAGACCACACUGUCAAAGGUCAGCUAGGCGCUGUGCUGGCAGGCUGGCCAGGCCCGGGAGGGAGCCAGGCCCCCGGAGACGCGGCAGGCAGAAGCGUGCUGGCUCAUCUACGGGAUCCUUCCAUCUGUUCCCAGGGAUCCUCCAAGUUAACUCUAACUUAAAAGCUCUUCACAGAUGGGCAAGAAAUUCGAUUCUUCUGUUAUUCUAAUCCCCAAACAAGCCAUGAUACACACAGAGGCAAUUUCAGGUUGAGUCAUGUUACCUUUCUCCAAAUUGCAGGCAAUCCCCACUUCUCUGGAGCCCUACAGCACAGACAGAGCACCCCGCGUGGAGUGCAGAGGAAAACCCACGCAGCUGAAGAUGCUAAGGCAGAGAGGAAAGCCACACCGUGCGGACAAAUGAGCAUGCCUGAUUGACUCCAUUGAAACAGCGUGCAAUUCUUGAUCUCGGGGUAGUGAGUUCAAGCCCCAAGUCAGGAAGCCCGCGCUGUUAGCUCACGUCCAGUCUAUCUGAGCUGUAAAAAUAAAACAGGAGCCAUAGGAGUGCAGGCCAGUGACACUAUCGCUGUACCAAAGGACAACUCUGGGGGCUGCAGGUGCUCCUUGGCUUGUGGCUGUACCACUCCGACUCCUGCCCCUGUCCUCACAUGGCCUUCUUCUCUUCCCUCCAUCCUUCCUGUGAGUAUGUCUUGGAAGGAUACCUGUCACUGGAUUUAAGAACCACCCCGGUAAGCCAGGACGAUCCCAUCUCAAGAUCCUUCAUUUAAUUACAUCUGCAAAGACGCUUUUUCCAAAUAAGGUCACAUUCACAGCUUCCUGAGGUUGGGAUGUGGGCAUAUCUCUUGAGGGACUGCUAGUCAACAAGCUGCCGAUGAGAAAUCAGCCAUGCUGACUCUGGCCAGUUUGGGCGGGGGCGGGGAGGGGGGGGCGCAUGGCGAUCUCAGGGAGCAAGGCCCAGGCAGUUCCAGGCAGGAGACUGGUGAUUUGCCCGUUGACAGGGCCCAAAGGUAAAUUAGUAGCUUAUAAUAAGCAGAUGGAGUGGGGAAUCCAAGAAGGGUAUGUUCAAUUUUUCCCAUUAGUUCAGCUUCUGUUUAUUCAAACAACCUUAAGUGAUAAAGAAGAUAUUUGACAGUCACUGGGGUGGCUCAGAGAAUUAACACAAGAGCCAACGAUCCACUUCUGGAACCGACACAGAAUCCGGAGCAGAUGUUGUCGUUGAAUGCUGCCGUUUUCCAGAACUCCAUCGUGGACAUAUGCUGCUCUGAUAAUGCCUGAGCUCUCUCCCAGAGGAGAAUUGGGCUCCAAUCAAGUGUGAGAGUUAUCAGCCAUGGUACAGGCAUGACAGCUGUGAGCUGGAGAAGUCACCCCAGCGGGGGUCUGUGACAGGCGGGCUGGGGAGGCUUCGGUGCUGGACGGGGGGUGGGGGGGGGACCAGAGAGCAGGAGCAAUGCAGCCAGCUGGGAGUGCCUGGUCCAGAGACCACAUCUCCAACCACUUUGUCUAAGGACUCUUGAGACUCAAGAAUUAAAGAGAAAUCCAAAGAGACAUAAGUGUCUUGUAUCUAUCGAUAGUGACUUAUUAGAAAUGAAAGCCGAGGGGCACCUGGGUGUCUCAGUCAGUUAAGCAUCUGACUCUUGAUUUCGGCUCAUCAUCCUAUGGUUCGUGAGAUCGAGCCCCACAUCAGGCUCUGGGCUGACAGCAAGGAGCCUGUUUGCGAUUCUCUCUCUCCCUCUCUCUCUCUCUCUCAAAAAUAAGUAAAGUUUUAAAAACUCUUUAAAAAAAAAAAAAGAAAUUAAAGCUGAGACUUCGUAAGACACGAGAACACAAGCUCACCUGCCAUCAGCUGUCAGAGCGAUGAUGUCACCACACCCGGGGCGGCCACGGGAAGGCUUCACUGCACACUCCUACGAGAAGAGGGGUGAAGGUCAAGAGCGUCUUAGUGUUGUUACGAAAUCAGUCCUGACUUUACCCAUCCUCUGAAAGGGCCCCAGGGUCCCGCUCGUCCCAGACCAUGUGGGGAAUGGCCAGCAUCGUGGUUCGGGACGUGGACUCCAGGGCAGGGCUGCCUGAGUUUGGAACUUGGCCUAGCGUGCUUCUUACCCACCCAGCACCUCCGUGUCCUCAUCUGAAAAUGGGACAACGGUGGUGCCCCCUUACAGGGCUGUGGGGGCAUCAGCACAGUGCCGAGCGUGGGCAUGUAGACGCCGCCCUUUGGCUCGGGUGAGGCACCGCACCAGCACUGAGGCCUGGGAUUGCCAGAUGUGGAGGCACCAAACUCCGCUGGGACGGGCUGGCCAGGGGUCCGAGGACUGGCUCGGGACCCAGACUCAACCCUGGACCUCCUGGCUCUGUGGGGGGUUUAACACUUCGAACCCCCACCCCCCGCCAGAGAGCAAGCCCGGCUCCAGUCCAGGAGCCCGGGCGAGCCGGGGGGGGGGUGCCACGUGGGCUUCGUUCUCAGGAGCGGGUGGGGUGACAGCCCACAGGGAUGAGAUGCCGUCUGAUAGCUCAGCAAAGACGAUUCUCAAAAACAUAUCCUUCUUAUGGUAUCCGCGACUUGUAUUGCCGAGAUGUGGAUUUCUCUGCAUCCAUCAAUAAAAAUGUGGAAUUGGGCCAAUUUAUGAAUAUUUCAUAUACAACCAACUCUAGUGUUGAAUGCUCAAAAAUGAUAAAAACCUGUCAAUAUGCCUCUGACCUCUUGGAGGUUUCCAGGGCAUCAGUUCAGUCUUGAGCCCGGGCCUGACCACCUCUACUUCUGUCUCCCUCCAGAUCCAGCAUCCCCGACGGACGUGGGCCUCCGGCUUCCUGCCCGUGAGAGGGAUCAUCCCGGAUUGUCCAGCAGGGGUUACCCUGAGGUUGGGGAUGCAGGACCAACCAACGGAUGGAUCCACGGAGGGGGGCGGGGGAGGUGACGCUCGAGGAGCUCGUCCACAUACAAACAUCCUACAGCCGCACCCUCGGGUCACAUGGACUGCCUUUGAAAAUCGCCCGUGUUAUGACUACGUCA